rnacentral:rRNA from 1 species
GAUGAACGCUGGCGGCGUGCCUAAUACAUGCAAGUCGAGCGAACGGACGAGAAGCUUGCUUCUCUGAUGUUAGCGGCGGACGGGUGAGUAACACGUGGAUAACCUACCUAUAAGACUGGGAUAACUUCGGGAAACCGUAGCUAAUACCGGAUAAUAUUUUGAACCGCAUGGUUCAAAAGUGAAAGACGGUCUUGCUGUCACUUAUAGAUGGAUCCGCGCUGCAUUAGCUAGUUGGUAAGUUAACGGCUUACCAAGGCAACGAUGCAUAGCCGACCUGGGAGGGUGAUCGGCCACACUGGAACUGAGACACGGUCCAGACUCCUACGGGAGGCAGCAGUAGGGAAUCUUCCGCAAUGGGCGAAAGCCUGACGGAGCAACGCCGCGUGAGUGAUGAAGGUCUUCGGAUCGUAAAACUCUGUUAUUAGGGAAGAACAUAUGUGUAAGUAACUGUGCACAUCUUGACGGUACCUAAUCAGAAAGCCACGGCUAACUACGUG